CCCUCUUGCAAUGGGCAAAGAGACACCUUGGUGGUGGUGGUGAUCUAUCAGUCAGGGGCAAAGCAGAUGCCAGUCCUUUGUUCAUCCCAGUUUGAUGCCUGGCACGGUGACAAAGCUGUCUUAUGCCUAGGACUCAUAA